CACGUAGGGGGCAAGCGUUGUCCGGAUUUAUUGGGCGUAAAGAGCUCGUAGGCGGCUCUGUAAGUCGGGUGUGAAACCUCCAGGCUCAACCUGGAGACGCCACCCGAUACUGCUGUGGCUUGAGUCCGGUAGGGGAGCGUGGAAUUCCUGGUGUAGCGGUGAAAUGCGCAGAUAUCAGGAGGAACACCUGUGGUGUAGACGGCUCUCUGGACAGUAACUGACGCUGAGACACGAAAGCGUGGGUAGCAAACAGG
rnacentral:rRNA from 1 species